AUGAGAAAAUGGAGGCCAAGGGAGUGAGUUGUCUGUCCAAGAUGACACAAACUACAGUUGGCUGAGCCAGGAUUUGAUCCCAGAGCCUGUGUUCUUUAUCGCUGUGCUGAAUUUCUUCCAAUGAGGCUCUUCUUAACACAGACUAUGUGGGAUACAUAAAGGAGCACAUUGCUGGCAGUGAACACGGAGCUGCUGGACUGUCAGAUAAAACAGGAGAACAACAUAUGCAAAGGCCAGAGAAGCCAUGCUUGGAGAAGAGGGAAUAAUGGGGAAGCCUAGAACA